ensembl:ncRNA asRNA:CR43259 antisense RNA:CR43259
UGUACGCGGACGUGUCGCGUCGGUGGCUUUAUUGCCUGGCGCGAUGCUGUAUAUAAAAAUGCAUAUCCCUUGGAAUGGAUUUUACAACUUUAAAAAAGAAAAAGGAGGUAACACGGUUAUCAGGCGUUGGGGCGUGAGCCAAAUCGCUGUGUCCGCCGGAGAUUAAACAGGAAUACUAAAUAUUUACCAAAUGCGAUCAGUCAAGGUUAAAACGUGACACAUGCGUGAUGUACAUGGGCCUAUAAAUUAAUACUAAAUUCCCUAAGCGCCUGCCCAUGUCGAGCAUGAAUUUCACCAAUGCUGGCAUCCAUUUCGCAGUAAUUUGAUUUCUAGAAUCGAAUUUACGAAAAUGUCCAACCAAGUGUGCUGGCAUGGCCAUAUCCGAUCGGCAAUGACUAGCAGGCAAAUCAAGUUAAAGUUCAGCACAAUAAAUAAAUACAUAGAAACAGCCGAAAAGCGAGUCAGAUGUGUACGCCAUUUUAUUGGAUUUAAUGCACAUUAAUGGGCGCACAAUGGCAAUGAUAUCAUCGCUGGAAUUGUGCGCCAAUUACUCGAUUGCACUUGCACAAAGGCUAUCAUUUCCAGCGAAAUAUGUUGUAAGCAAUUACUUACGUCUGCUGCAGGGUCGAAUGUAGGAGAUAUCCACCCGGGCCCAUUUAUGCCCAGACGAAAGCCCAGAAAUCAACUUGGCCCUUGGGGGAGUUGCGAUGAUGCCAAGAACCAUGAAAUGGGAAUGAAAAGCUUGAAUAUGCAUUAUUCCUUCGGCUGGCCGGCUAUCAACUGGCAAUCAGAAGUUGGCCGAGUGGAAAAAUCAAAUGUAUUUCUCUGUUCGAAUGUGUGAAGAGGCCGGGGGGAAUGAAAAGCGAUUGUGGUUACAAGGAAAAGCGUCUGAAAAGUUGGCCAUCCAUAAGCUAAAGUUCGUAAAGAGUUAAGCUGCACAUCUUAUCGUCCGAACUUGUUUCUGUAUUUAUUUUAAUAUCGGCUUUCGUUUGUUGAAGUCGAUUAAACUAUAUGCAACGAUAUAUAGGUUAAAUUUGGAUGAUCCGGGGAGAGCGUCGUGUGAUUUCUCGAAUAGGAAGUUCCACGAGCAUUGCCCAUCCAAACAUCGAAUCCCGCAUCCGCCAGUAAAUAUGGCAGACCAUCAUUGGGUCCUUGCAAAAUCCAGGCAUCCGAACAGCUCGUCAAUCCGUGUUGAAGAAGGACAAUGGGUCGCUUUUCGUUCUGGUUCUGCAACUUGUGGGAGUAGGGGAUUCGGAAAACUCCCAGGAUGUAACCAUCUUCGGUAACUAUGUGAUGGUGCUCCGAAGGAUAUCCGUGAGCGGCAGUGCGGUCAGCCUAAGGUCGGCAAAUAUAAUUAAAUACUAAUUAAAUUUCAUUAAAUUCUAAUUUAAAUCAAA